AGAAUCAACGCUGGCGGCGUGCCUAACACAUGUAAGUCGCACGAGAAAGGGUAGCAAUACCUGAGUACAGUGGCGCACGGGUGAGUAACACGUGAAUAAUCUACCUCCGAGUGGGGAAUAACUGAGAGAAAUCUUAGCUAAUACCGCAUAAUACCCACGGGUCAAAGCAGCAAUGCGCUUGGAGAGGAGUUCGCGGCAGAUUAGUUAGUUGGCGGGGUAAUGGCCCACCAAGACGAUGAUCUGUA
rnacentral:rRNA from 1 species